rnacentral:rRNA from 1 species
AGCGAACGCUGGCGGCAGGCCUAACACGUGCAAGUCGAGCGGCCGUAGCAAUACGGCAGCGGCAGACGGGAGAGUAACACGUGGGAACGCGCCCUUCGGUUCGGGAUAACUCAGGGAAACUUGGGCUAAUACCGGAUACGCCCUUACGGGGAAAGAUUUAUUGCCGAAGGAACGGCCCGCGUCCGAUUAGCUAGUUGGUGAGGUAACGGCUCACCAAGGCGACGAUCGGUAGCUGGUCUGAGAGGAUGACCAGCCUCACUGGGACUGAGACACGGCCCGGACUCCUACGGGAGGCAGCAGUGGGGAAUAUUGGACAAUGGGCGCAAGCCUGAUCCAGCCAUGCCGCGUGGGUGAUGAAGGCCCUAGGGUUGUAAAGCCCUUUCAGCGGGGAAGAUAAUGACGGUACCCGCAGAAGAAGCCCCGGCUAACCUCGUGCCAGCCGCCGCCGUAA